UAGGGAAUCUUCGGCAAUGGGGGCAACCCUGACCGAGCAACGCCGCGUGAGUGAAGAAGGUUUUCGGAUCGUAAAGCUCUGUUGUAAGAGAAGAACGUGUGUGAGAGUGGAAAGUUCACACAGUGACGGUAACUUACCAGAAAGGGACGGCUAACUACGUGCCAGCAGCCGCGGUAAUACGUAGGUCCCGAGCGUUGUCCGGAUUUAUUGGGCGUAAAGCGAGCGCAGGCGGUUUAAUAAGUCUGAAGUUAAAGGCAGUGGCUUAACCAUUGUUCGCUUUGGAAACUGUUAAACUUGAGUGCAGAAGGGGAGAGUGGAAUUCCAUGUGUAGCGGUGAAAUGCGUAGAUAUAUGGAGGAACACCGGUGGCGAAAGCGGCUCUCUGGUCUGUAACUGACGCUGAGGCUCGAAAGCGUGGGAAGCAAACAGG
rnacentral:rRNA from 1 species